rnacentral:rRNA from 1 species
AAUCAACGCUGGCGGCGUGCCUCAGACAUGCAAGUCGAACGCGAAAGCUCCCUUCGGGGAGCAAGUAGAGUGGCGCACGGGUGAGUAACACGUAGGUAAUCUACCUUUGGAUGGGGAAUAACAACCGGAAACGGUUGCUAAUACCGCAUAAUGCAGCGGCACCUAAUGGUGACAGUUGUUAAAGCGGGGGAUCGCAAGACCUCGCGUCUGAAGAGGAGCCUGCGGCAGAUUAGCUAGUUGGUAGGGUAACGGCUUACCAAGGCGAUGAUCUGUAGCCGGCCUGAGAGGGCGGUCGGCCACACUGACACUGACAUACGGGUCAGACUCCUACGGGAGGCAGCAGUCGGGAAUUUUGGGCAAUGGGCGAAAGCCUGACCCAGCAACGCCGCGUGAAGGAUGAAAUCCCUCGGGAUGUAAACUUCGCAAGAACGGGAAGAAUAAGCCGGUGUCAACACCACCGGCGAUGACGGUACCGUUUGUAAGCUCCGGCUAACUCCGUGCCAGCACG